GUGUGUGCUUGUGAUGUCUUUGUUUGUCAGAGUCCUUAAUGGGAAAGAAAAAAAAAAAACACUGGCAUUUGUUUUUUGUUGUUGAUUUGUUUGAAAAUUUCCUUGGAAAGGCUUGCAUAGACUUAUGUGAAAGGGCGGAGAUGGUCUCCCCCCAUUUUGGCUCUUGCAAAUGGCUGGGGGUUAUUUUGGAAGUCGUUCAGAAGCUGAGAGGUAGUGUGUGGGUAGAUCUCGUGAAUUGUCCAAAUUCAUUAAAUGAAACUAUCUGCUGCUCAAGGAAACAGUCUUGGUGGCUGAAUCCCAUCAAAAACAGCCUUUCCCACCCCCAGACCUCCCAGGCCUCCCCUUAGCUGAAACAGGCUGUAACCUCUAGUUGGCUAAAUGAACAUGGGAGACAAAGACCCUACUGGAGAAGAGUGAGGUUGAAAGCCCACAAAGAAGUUCCACAUUUCCCCCAAUCCCAGGCCAGAGAAUACCUACCAUGAGAAGUCAGGAAGGGUUCCAGCUCUGGAGACACUGUACUUUUGACUAUUGGUCCAGCUGUGCUCUGCCAUCAGGAGUCAGGGCUGGGAGGACCUUCUCAUCCCACUCCAGGGCCCAAAUUUUCUGCCUCACCAUUUAAAGCUCUCCUUUUUGUUUUCAUUGUGCUUGCCUCCUUGGUGCCUACUAGAGAGAAGGAAAUACUUGUCCCUUCCAGUUGCUGGAGGCCCGAGAACCCCGGGUAGUGGGGAGGGUGGGGCAGAGACACAGAGAGUGACAUUGAACCAGCUGUCACUGUUUCUUCUGUGAGGUGCCUGAGCUAAUCGGGAACCAGAGUCCUUUCCCUCGCUUCCUCCUUCAGCCUCAGAUUUUCCAGGCCCUCCUUCCUGUCCUUGUUCCGGUGCCUGUUCUGAGGCUCUGGGAGUGGCCCUUUCCACAGUCUCUUACUUUCUAGCUGGCUUAGGUCAACAUAGAGCCUUCUGAGAGCUGCUGAGACUACUCUAGUAUUCCUCCUCCUGGCCUUUCCAUGGGGUCUCUAGGGCUUGCUACCCAGCCUGUCUGGCUGCUUUACAGCAUGCUCUUGGUAAGCCCACCAUUUCUUCAGCUAGAGGGCAAGACCUACCUACCUUGUAGUUCUUGGUGCCAGCAGCCUGGGAGAGGAUGGCACAACCACUGCCAGCCACCGAAGCUGAUUGCGUGUUUGUCCGCGCAUCGUUUGCAUGCCUGCUGACCUUUUGAAACCAGAAGAGGGUGUUGGAGUCCCUGGAAUUUAAGUUACAGAAGGUUGUGAGCCACCAAGUGGGUGUCGGGAAGUGGAAACGAGUCUGGAAGAGCAGCCACUGAGCCACUCUAGUCCAUGCAGUUUGCAUCUUGAACGGCCCUGCAAAGUACUGAAGACUUGGUCCCCAGAUGAUGUCACUAGGAAGGGCUUUGGCACCUUCCUAGUUCAAGGAGAGCCUACUGCAGAACCCAGAGAAUGGAACGAGUAAAUGUUUAUGCAUAUGGACUUAGCGUUCACAGUACACCGUGAGCCUUUGAAUUCCCAGAAGAACACGCUAUCCCUGGAACUGAGAACCUGACUCAGGAGUGGCACGCUGUGGACAAGCAGUAAGUGCUCUCGGUGGACCAUCAAAGUGAUACCAGCUACUGCAGGGGCAUGCCUGUCUACCCAUGGUGGUGACACCUCAGGGGACACUAACCGGUCUAUGCCCUGUGGCUCCAGAGGAGGAAAACAGUGACACAGCAGAAGUCAGUGGGAAUCGAUGGGGCUCUGAAGCCUGGCUCCACAUGGUCGGCCUUCCGCUCUCUGCAGUGUGACUUUGAAGCAAGUUAUUCCAACUGAGUCUCACUUCUUCCUCUCCACAGGGAGACGUCAUUCCAACCUGACAGACUGUCAUGAGAAUUAAGUGAAGAAAUCUGGAGCAGUAGGUCCAGGACCCUGCACACACAUCUCGUUAGAAUUGUCAUGUGCAGGGUCUUGGAAAAUAGCCAAGUGUUCAUGGUUUUCUUCUUGGAUCCUCACCGUAAUCUCAGGAGGCAGGCAGGUCCGACCAGAAGAAUUAAAGUCAUUUAAGAUUAUGUGGAUGAUCAUCAUGGGGGCUGGAAUCCGUCUUGCAGGUGUGUGCUGGAGUGUAAACAGCUGGAGUGUAAACAGCUGGAGGCCUGAGCUUGGGUUGAAUUCCUAUCUUUGCUCUGCCAUGAGCUAGCCCUGUGCUCCUGUGCAGAUCCUGUCUGUGUGCAUCAUGGGUAUUUCCUGUCUUACAGGUCAGUUGUGAGGAGUGGAUGAGCUAGUGCUAAUUAGACAUCCAGCAGAGCAUCCAGUGGGUGCUCAAUAAACGUUCAUGCCCAGGCUCAUGCCACUUGCUGUCUUGCUGUUGGGCCGUGUGUUGGUGGUCAUUUCUGUGGGGCGUUAUACUCCAUCUGUGCCACACCCACUCCAGUAGAGUCUGUGUGACCUGAAGCUCUUGUGGUUCGUUUCUGUCCAGAACAGAGGCCUCCUGGAGUUCCUGGCCGUCUCCCUGCAAAAAGAUGACAACUAGGGUCUAUGCUUGCGGUGGAGGUGCCUUCUGUGUUCUAGCCUUGGUGAUCUUAGCAACUUUAAGCCUGUCAACAAUAUCUGAUUUUAAGAACAUAGCAGGGUGGGAAGAUGGUCAUGUACCUUUAGAUGUCUCAGGAACUGAAAGUUCGGAGAUGGAAACGUCUCACACCAUCAUGAUCCUGAUAAACUCAACGGCCGCGAUGAAUUCAACUGCUGUACCCAUUAGCUCCCAGCAAAUAGGAGAGAAAUUAAUUGCAGCUACUAACAAUAUGACUGUUCCAGAAAAGCCUUUCCCCCGUUUUGGAAAAGUUUUGUUUAGCAUGAUUCAAAACAGUAAUGAUUCUUUUAAAAAGAUCAUAGACAAGUUCCAACAAGUUGAACAAAUUUAUCAAGAGUUAACCCUGUUUCCACUGAGAGUGGAAGUGAUGGCCCUUGUACCAGCUAUCAGUCAGGGAAGAAAGCAAAGGGGUCAUCUCUGUGCCUGCACCAAAUCUGCUAGAGAGGGGUGUGUGUGUGU
ensembl:lncRNA